rnacentral:lncRNA from 1 species
UUCGCAUUUUGGCCCCUGUGGAUUUUUAAAAUAGGAAAGUUAUUGUGUAAUAAAAUUCAUUUUUAGACAGAUGAGUGCUAAUUUAGCCUUCAAAGAUGGUUUAUAAGUUCAUCAAGAUUAUUUUUUACAUGUUUUAUGGGCUGUUUUCUGUUUGACAAUCCGUAUUUUCAUAGCUAGACCGGCCAUCGGUCCAGAAAUUAAUGUACUGUUUACAAACACUCUUUUUCUACGCGAAGUUUUUGACGCAAUUUUACAAAAAAAUGAGAUGAAAGACAUAUGAUUAUCAUUGGAUUUGCUGAAUGAUAUAUGUACACAGUUUCAGAAAAGGUAUUACUUCAAGCGAUUGAAAUUCUACUUUUAGCCAAAUUUUGGGGAAAUAUAUGACAUCUUUUCCCCCCUUUUUGCAAUAUUUUAUAACAAAUAAAUGCAGAUUGUUGCCAUGGAUACACCAAAAGAAAUUAUAUUUUACCAUUUUAUAUACUGGAUAUAAAAUCUAUGGAAGAUUCUGAUUACAUACAUAUGCCCAUAUAUAACACAAACAGUAAGCUUGAUAUUGCAAGAAAGCAAUGAAAAGGGGAUGGUAAAAUUCAUAAGGACAAAUUUUAGUAUUUUUUCCUAACUGUUUAUUGCUACCUUAUGGCAUACUUACCAAGCUCAGAAUUGUAUAAUUUAAGACUUUUCAUGCCACA